CUCGCCUGCAUGAAGUUGGAAUUGCUAGUAAUCGCGAAUCAGAAUGUCGCGGUGAAUACGUUCCCGGGCCUUGUACACACCGCCCGUCACACCAUGAGAGUCAAUAACACCCGAAGCCUGUGAGCUAACCUUUUAGGAGGCAGCAGUCGAAGGUGGGGUUGAUGAUUGGGGUGAAGUCGUAACAAGGUAAC
rnacentral:rRNA from 1 species